rnacentral:rRNA from 1 species
GGAAACUACAGCGCAGCGGGGGGGGUAAGACGUGGGGGGCAAGGGUUAUACGGAUUUACUGGGGGGAAAGGGAGCGUAGACGGCACGGCAAGCCGGAUGUGAAAGCCCGGGGCUCAACCCCGGGACUGCAUUUGGAACUGCUGAGCUAGAGUGUCGGAGAGGCAAGUGGAAUUCCUAGUGUAGCGGUGAAAUGCGUAGAUAUUAGGAGGAACACCAGUGGCGAAGGCGGCUUGCUGGACGAUGACUGACGUUGAGGCUCGAAAGCGUGGGGAGCAAACAGGAUUAGAUACCCUUGUAGUC